rnacentral:rRNA from 1 species
GGUCUACACCAUACCACCCUGAACACGCCUGAUCUCAUCUGAUCUUAGAAGCUAAGCAGGGUCGGGUCUGAUUAGUACUUGGAUGGGAGGAAAACACACAUGAUCU